rnacentral:rRNA from 1 species
AGCGAACGCUGGCGGCAGGCCUAACACAUGCAAGUCGAACGAACUCUUCGGAGUUAGUGGCGGACGGGUGAGUAACACGUGGGAACGUGCCUUUAGGUUCGGAAUAACUCAGGGAAACUUGUGCUAAUACCGAAUGUGCCCUUCGGGGGAGAGAUUCAUCGCCUUUAGAGCGGCCCGCGUCUGAUUAGCUAGUUGGUGAGGUAAAGGCGCACCAAGGCGACGAUCAGUAGCUGGUCUGAGAGGAUGAUCAGCCACAUUGGGACUGGGACACGGACCAAGCUCCUACGGGGGGCAGCAGUCGGGAAUCUUGCGCAAUGGGCGAAAGCCUGAAGCAGCCAGGCCGCGUGAAUGAUGAAGGUCUUAGGAUUGUAAAAUUCUUUCACCGGGGACGAUAAUGACGGUACCCGGAGAAGAAGCCCCGGCUAACUUCGUGCCAGCCGCCGCGGUAA